UGGGGAAUAUUGGACAAUGGGCGCAAGCCUGAUCCAGCCACGCCGCGUGAGUGAUGAAGGCCUUCGGGUUGUAAAGCUCUGUGGGGAGGGGCGAAAACGGCCGGUAAGAAACGACCGGUCCUUGACGGUACCUCCUUAGCAAGCACCGGCUAACUCUGUGCCAGCAGCCGCGGUAAUACAGAGGGUGCGAACGUUGCUCGGAAUUACUGGGCGUAAAGCGCGUGUAGGCGGAUGGGUAAGUCAGAUGUGAAAUCCCCGGGCUCAACCCGGGAACUGCAUUUGAAACUGCUCGUCUUGAGUACCGGAGAGGGUGGCGGAAUUCCUGGUGUAGAGGUGAAAUUCGUAGAUAUCAGGAGGAACACCGGUGGCGAAGGCGGCCACCUGGACGGUAACUGACGCUGAGACGCGAAAGCGUGGGGAGCAAACAGG
rnacentral:rRNA from 1 species